rnacentral:rRNA from 1 species
UACGGGGGGGGUAAGCGUUGUUCGGAAUUACUGGGCGUAAAGGGCUCGUAGGCGGCCAACUAAAUCGGACGUGAAAUCCCUCAGCUUAACUGGGGAACUGCGUCCGAUACUGGAUGGCUUGGAUUUGGGAGAGGGAUGCGGAAUUCCAGGUGUAGCGGUGAAAUGCGUAGAUAUCUGGAGGAACACCGGUGGCGAAGGCGGCAUCCUGGACCAAUAUUGACGCUGAGGAGCGAAAGCCAGGGGAGCAAACGGG